CGUACCGGUACUCAACACUGAAAUCCUGCACUUUGCGGAUUUCAGUGUCAACUCCACUCUCGCCUCGCGUCGAGUCUAUUUUGCAUCCAUUUCGCGCCAAAACGACUUCGACUUGUCUCUACACUCUCCAGAUGUGUCAACAAGCCUCAAAUACUGAAAUCUCACGAGCAACCAAACACUAGGAUACUACAUUUAAAUUUUGAUAUUUUCAUUUAAAAUAUAAAUUUAAAUUUUAAAUCAAAAUUUAAAUUUUUAAUUUAAAAUUUAAAACCUAAAUUUAAAAUUAAAAUUAAAAUUUGAAUAUUUAGAAUUUACAACUAAAAAUUUAAAAUUUAAAAUUCAAUAUUUAAAAUUUAAAAUUUUAAAAUUUGAAUUUUAAAAAUAUGAUAUUUGUAAUUUACAAAUUAAAACUUAUAAUUUUAAAUUUUAAAAUUUCAAUUCAAUUCUUAAAUUUCAAAUUUUAAGUUUUAUCUUAAAUUUAAAAUUUAAAUUUUAAAUUUGAGAUUUGAAAGGUAAAAUUUGAAUUUUAAAUUUUGAAAUUUAAAAUUUGACAAUUCAAAUUCAAAAGUAAGAAAUUAAAAAUUAAAAUUUGAGUUUAAAUUUAAAUUUGAAUAUAAAAUAAAAUUUAAAUUGAAAUUUGAAUCUAAAAUCAGAAUUGAAUUUCAGGGAGCAGGUUUUAGCUAUUUCUGAUUUUGUGCCUCGAAAAUAAAAAAAACUGAAUCCGAUUUUAAUAACAAGGUUGUCAAAUACUCUAUUUGAGCCGAAAAUUACUUUUUGAUCAAAAAUCGCUUUUCAAAAGUUAGGCCAAAUAACCGCU
rnacentral:lncRNA from 1 species